rnacentral:rRNA from 1 species
CUGGCUCAGGAUGAACGCUAGCUACAGGCUUAACACAUGCAAGUCGAGGGGCAGCAGGAUCUAGCAAUAGAUUGCUGGCGACCGGCGCACGGGUGAGUAACACGUAUCCAACCUGCCGAUAACUCGGGGAUAGCCUUUCGAAAGAAAGAUUAAUACCCGAUGGUAUAAUCAGACCGCAUGGUCUUGUUAUUAAAGA